AGUCACUGUAAAGGAAGAACAUAUGUAAAUAUUUAAAUCUCUUCCAUAUGUUUAAGAAUAAAAGAAAACAAGCGGCGUCUUUUUCCAAUAGCUAUGCUUAUUCACUAGUGAUGGCCACUGACUGGAGUUGGUACCGGUGCAUGGGACAAGAGGGAAAGGAAGUCGGCGGCGCGGGGACGGUUGGUUCGCCGGAGAAGACGCGUAAGCCAGUUGGAGUUGCUGUCGCCGCUGUGGCGUUGAACUCCGACCAGAGAUGACAGCGCCGGUCAGAUCCGGCCCGUUGAUGGGCUGUUCGCGACGGAAAAGGGAAAGGGGAAGGGAGUUACGCCGGAAAAAGGAAAAGGGGGAGUGGCGCUGGUCUUGAAAUUCCGGCGAUGGGAGGUGCAAAAGAGUGACGUUAAUGACGUCGGCGAGAGCCAAUCGGAGUCGACUCGAAAAUAGAUCAAUUUUGGUGAGAGUGAAAGGAGACAAACAAAAUUUGUGCUUAAAUAAAGCUUGCUCAAGAUAUAAGACUAGAAGAAAAUAAAGUUUCUUUCACUCACCACAUUUAAAGGGGGAAUGGAUCAUUUGAAAGAUGGUCAGAUUUGUAGUGCUCGUGUAAGGUGGAAGCAAGGGAGAUUUUAAAAAAAUGAGAAAAAAAGAUGACUGUGAAAUUGAUGAGCAUGCACAGGAUCAUGUUGUACCACCUGGUUCAACUGUUGUACAGACCGAGGGCAUAUUGACAGGGUAAACAACAAAUAAAGAAAUGGAUGCAUCAAUAAAACCAACACAAGUUGCAGAUUGUGCAUAAAAAUAGGAACAAGCAAGCAAUUAUGACCACAAAGUUCUUAUCAGUCCAUGGUGAGCUUUCUUGGAAGGCUUUCUCAUCCUAACCUGGUCAAACUCUUGGGGUACUGCCAUGAAGCCAAAGAACUAGUGCUUGUCUAUGAGUUCAGGCUAAAGGGGAGCUUGGACAACCAGCUUUAUGGAAGGUGCUCUGCUGCUUUGUCACGUCCAUGGAAUGUAAGGCUUAAAAUUGUAAUUGGAGCAGCACGAGGCUUGGCAUUCCUACAUUCAUCAGAGAAGCAAGUCAAUUGCAGAGACUUCAAAACCUCGAAUAUAUUACUUGUUGGAUGCGAAGAUAAUCAUAUUCUGACUUGGCAAAAGUAGUUCGCAUGAGACAACACGGAUACUUGGAACAUAUGGUUAUGCUGCUCCCGAAUAUGUUGCAACAGGACACUUGUACGUGAAGGACCAUGUCUGUGGUUUUGGUGUCUUUUUAGUGGAAAUGCUAACCGGUCUACGGGCAAUAGACACAAAACGCCCAACCAACCAGCAUAAUCUGGUUGAAUGGAUUAAACCACAUUUAUCUGAUAAAAGGAAGUUAAAGGACAAGAUGGAUUCGCGGCUGGAAGGAAAAUAUCCACAUCCAAAUCUGCAGUACAAAUAGCACCGCUGGAGCUGGCACUGUCAUGUCUUGGAUACGAACCUAAAAGCAGACCAUCAAUGAAGGAAGUAGUGGAGAAACUAGAACAGAUUGAGGCUGCCAAUGAAGACCCAAGGAGCAUAGAAUAAGUUCCAAACAUCAGACUGCUGAAAGAUAUGGUCAGCAACCUUUGCACAAUCCUUCUCCACUUAAUCCAAGGAACCGAACCUAUCCACUCCCUAGAAGAUCAGCAGACAGAACGAAGAUGAUGAUACUACUUAGUAUUUAUAUAAUUACAACAAUCGGAAGAAGCUACAAUAGCUUAGUUCUCCGAAUACAGACAAUUUCAUUCAUCUUUUGUCGGAUAUGUCUAGUUGGUCCUGUAGUCUUUUAGUUUGUGAGGUGAAGUGGUAAGGUUCUGUAUGGCCUUGGGUUGUGAUUGUUAUAGUGAUAUAUAUAUAUAUAUAUUAGAUGGGUGUCGUAUUUAUGUUA